UAGGAAAAACGGAAAAGAAAUUUACUUUGACAAAAACUCUGAAUAAAGCCUCUGAAUAUAACUACUAUAUAUAUGUGCAAAAAUAUUGUUGUAUCGUGUUUCAAAAAAAAAUUUACUUUCCUCGUUCUGUCGGCUUGUACAUCGGAUCAUCGAUAGAGUCAAACGGUCGCAUAAUCUGAGCGGAUGUUGAUGCGUUCGUCCGCUCGUGUUUCCUGCGGUUUCCUGUUCCCCAAUCCAUUGUUUCGAUCUCGUUGCUCGUGAUAAUCUGUGCCUAUUAUUUCGUUCGGAUUCGUGGUUGUUAUCAGCUGUCGUCGAGCGAAGAGACCUGGACUCGAUUCUAAAUCUCUGUAUUGAUCACCGAUUGGUUUGGUUUUUUCAAAAAAAGCUUGAUGGCACGAAGGUGUAUCAUAUCUUUAGAAUUCGUUGCAUUUCCAAAAAAAGGAUAGAACGUUUAUUAAUUUUGAGAAAAAGUUUAUCGUGAAAGAUUUCUUGUAUUAUGCGAGGAUCUGUUGUAUCGGAAAUUAUUGUAUGGAAGACUUUUGCGAAGAAGUUUGUUACGUGAAAGGGUGGAAAAGGGCUUCUUAUAUACGAGGAUCCGGUAUAUCAUCAAGUAUUGGAAUAUUAUUUGAAAGGAAAGGAGAAUGUAUUAUUUUUCUUGAAAAUUUUUAUGAGAAAGAAAUUUAUUGUAUGAAAGGGUGGGAAAUUUAAACUUCUUAUAUUAUAAUAAGAUAUUCAUAUCGGGAUUUUUUUCUUUUCUUAACAUUUUGUGCGAGCAAUUUAUUAUACGAAGAGAUGGAAAAUUUGAGGCUUUUUAUUUAUAAUAAUUUUGUAAUAAUUAACGUAGUUUUAAAUUUUUUCUUUUUAUAAAAAAUACAAAGGAAAUUUUCUUAAAUAUUAACGAGAUGAGAAAUUUUUUUAUUCCAGAUAUUUUCAUCGAGAAAUUGUCACCAUAUAAAUGAAUGAAUUUCCAAGAAUUCAUUUAAAAAGAAAAUAUUUUUUUACAAGCGAUAUUAUACUUUCAUGAUACGAUUAAUAUUUCUCAAAAAAUAACUAGUGAUAGCUAGCAAACGAUUCUUAAAAAAAAAAAAAAAAAAGGAAAGAAAAAUAAUGAUUAUAUAAAAAUUUCUCAAUCAGGUCAAUCGUUAUAAUAAUUUUGCGCGUUUUUCUCACUUCAUUUCUGGGGGAGAAAAAAGUAUGGGAUUGAAUGCGUCAUUCAUCGUUUUAGGUGUAUCGUUUUAUUAGAGGAUCGAGCAAUCUUCAUUUCCGUGGUGUAAUAAAGCUACGGUAUAGGAGAAGUUGGGGCCGUCGAGUGCGGUAAAGUUUCUCGAGUGCUCUAAGGCGUAGGCACGAAGAAAAGAAACUCGAAGCGUGAGCCACCGUGGCCCCAGUGUUCGUAGCCUUAAUUUUUAAUGGCGUGUGUUCAGUUUAAUGGGAACGCGUGUGUGCGUCCAUUUCACGUGACACGGACACUUCGUGAAAAGGUGCAUUGAAGAAAGUUGGAAAAAAAUUAUCAACGAAGAAUUUUUCUUUACACAUAUGUACAUACAUAUAUAACUUUAUAACUUUAGAAUAUAUAUUAUAUAUAUUUUGCGUUUUCCUGACCCGUUUGACUUUUUUUUUUAUACAAAUGUCAGACAUUAAGAUCGAAACAUGAAAACAGUGUUUUGUGCCAUGUUUGAUUUUCAUAUAUUAGACGGAUUUUAAGAAAUUUAUUUCCAAGAUUAAUUACUUUUUUAAAUAAUUAAUUGAUUUUAGGGAGAACGAUCAGCAAAAAUGUGUGAUUUUAUUUAAAAAAAAUUAUAAGUACAGUUAUAAAUGAUUCAUAUUGCAAAUUAAAUUAAUUUAAGAUCUUUUUGUGAUGGACUACAGUUGGAAUCGUUAUUUCAAAUAUCUUUAUUUUGUUUUAAUAUUCUUAUUAUCUUCCAACAAUUUUUUCAUGAAAAAUAUAACAUUAUUUGUGAAUAUUGAAAUACGAUAAAGUGUUAUAUAUAUCACGAGAAAAUUAUUUUAAAUCGUCUAAUAAAAAUAGGAAUAUGCGUGGUUAGACGCGAUAAAUUUCGUAAUAAUUCGUACAAAUUAACACCCUCCAUUUCGUUUAAUUCCCCUUGAAAUAUUCAUUUCGAUAAUAACGAACAGUCUGAGACAGCAAAGUACCUAACCUACCAAAGGUGGCGUAGCUAAUGAAUUCAACCGGUAGAUCACGAAGAAAAUCUCUUGCUACGGCUGUCCCGUUAUCAUACUACCCGUAUCAAGAUCUCCCCUUAAGGGGAUUAGGAGAUUCCAACCGUUUAAUCCUGGCAAAUCUGACGCACAGCUGUCCAACGAUCCCGUUUUACGACGAAUUUCCUUGCACCGUUUUCGUGCAAUAAAAUAAUAAAACUCACCAUUAACGGGCAUCGUUCGAACCUAUACGAUAAAAUUUGUAUUGUCUUAAUGAGACAGAGUCGAGUACAAUUUUCUUUAUCAAUUUCUAUUCAACGCCUAAUAAUAUUAUCUUACGAUAAUACAGAUAAUACAGAUUACAAUCAUUGGAGGAAUCUAAGGUUUGGUUUGGUUAAACUAGAUCUAGUAACAUAUAACUAGGAACUAGAUGUUGAGUUAUAGGGAAUAUUGUCAUCAAGAAGAGAAUAUUUGAGAGAGAUAAAUGGAUUUGAAAAUUAAUGAAUUAAAAUAUUAUGGAUUUAUGAUGAGAAGUAAGUGAAUAUUGUAAAAUAUUGUGAAUUUCAAUGUAUAUAAUGAAGAAUCUAUGAUUAGUGGAUCUAAUGAAAAGAGAAUUUAAAUGAAAAAGUAGUAACAUAUAAGAAAUAACUAGAUCUAGUAAUAUAUAGGGGAAAGAAUUAAAUACGAUGGAAAAGUAUUGUUUAAUUGAAAAAGAAAUAAGUGGAUCUAGUAAUAUAUAGCGGAUAGAAUGGAAAUACCGAAGAAAAAAGUGGAAAAUAAAGAAAUCAUAGCAUCGAAUUCGAAGAUAUAGUAAUUAUAUAUAUAAAUUUUAAUAGAAUUUAUGUAAAAAGUGUAAAUUUUUUUUUUCGUUGAAGGGACGAAGACAGACAAUUUCAAAAUUGAAUCUCUUCUUGGAUAUUUUAGAGAGGAGUUAUUAUGUUAGAUUUAAUAUAAAACGAAAUUAAACCAAAGUUUUUGAAAAGACUAUUUUCAGUACAGUAAAAUUUUAAAUUUAAAUUUAAAAUACCUCAGAUAUAUAAAUUUUAAAUUUAAACACAUACGAAACUAAAUUUAUUAGAAAAGUUGCUUCAAUUCCCAGUUCUAGAAUAAGUUCACGUAGAAACCCUAAAUCUAAAAAUAAAAAAGUAGAAAGAAGUUGCUGUAAA
rnacentral:lncRNA from 1 species